UACCAGCAUCCCGAGUGGUCGGGACGAUUAUUGGGCCUAAAGCAUCCGUAGCCGGUCAUGCAAGUCCUCCGUUAAAUCCACCUGCUUAACAGAUGGGCUGCGGAGGAUACUACAAGGCUAGGAGGCGGAAGAGGCAAGCGGUACUCAGUGGGUAGGGGUAAAAUCCUCUGAUCCAUUGAAGACCACCAGUGGCGAAGGCGGCUUGCCAAUACGCGCUCGACGGUGAGGGAUGAAAGCUGGGGGAUCAAACCGG
rnacentral:rRNA from 1 species